CUUACAGGGGUAAAUUCAGUAAAUAAAUAUACGUCAUCAGGGACCGCCCAUUUGGGGGAGAGCUUUCUGUAUAAAACUGAAGUCAUGUGCUCUUCUGAUUGGUAGAUAAUGUUUGUAAUAAAUAUUUUUUGAUAGAUGGAUAAAAACUAGAGUUGAAAAAAAAUAAAAAAUAAAUGCUGAAUGUACUAAAUUUUUUUACUACAGGGUUGAAAAGUAAUGGGGGUCAGUGAAGGAAUUAAGUGCGAAUCUACAGUGUUUGUAAACAAGGCCAUGUGAAUGCCCAAAAAUGCCGCAUGACCCUAUGUUUUUAUUGUUGCAAAUGAUAGGGCUACAUUUGUACUUUCAUGAAUGAUAUAUGAAAUUUUCUAAUUUCUAAAGUUUUGUCUGUCUAGUUUUGGUGAAGAAACCAUCCUGAUGUUGGGGUAACAGGAAUUUCUGCAGAGUGAUUGUCAAUGACAUUUUGUGAACUUUACAAGUAAUUAAAACACAAAUUUAGUAAAAUGAAACAUAAUUGUUGGUUUUUUUUGUAUGAAACUGCUUAAAAAAGCCUUUGAAAAG